rnacentral:rRNA from 1 species
GUGGGGAAUAUUGGGCAAUGGGCGCAAGCCUGACCCAGCAACGCCGCGUGAAGGAAGAAGGCUUUCGGGUUGUAAACUUCUUUUAAGAGGGAAGAGUAGAAGACGGUACCUCUUGAAUAAGCCACGGCUAACUACGUGCCAGCAGCCGCGGUAAUACGUAGGUGGCAAGCGUUGUCCGGAUUUACUGGGUGUAAAGGGCGUGUAGCCGGGCCGGCAAGUCAGAUGUGAAAUCCCAAGGCUCAACCUUGGAACUGCAUUUGAAACUGUUGGUCUUGAGUAUCGGAGAGGCAGGCGGAAUUCCUAGUGUAGCGGUGAAAUGCGUAGAUAUUAGGAGGAACACCAGUGGCGAAGGCGGCCUGCUGGACGACAACUGACGGUGAGGCGCGAAAGCGUGGGGAGCAAACAGG